rnacentral:tRNA from 1 species
GUUUUAAUAGUUUAACAAAAACAUCGGUCUUGUAAACCGAAAUUAAGUAAACUAGGCCCUUUUAAAACA